rnacentral:rRNA from 1 species
CCCUCCCUCUUUCUUCCUGCCUAACACAUGCAAGUCGAACGAGACCUUCGGGUCUAGUGGCGCACGGGUGCGUAACGCGUGGGAACCUGCCCUUAGGUUCGGAAUAACUCCCCGAAAGGGGUGCUAAUACCGGAUAAUGUCUUCGGACCAAAGAUUUAUCGCCUUUGGAUGGGCCCGCGUUGGAUUAGCUAGUUGGUAGGGUAAAAGCCUACCAAGGCGACGAUCCAUAGCUGGUCUGAGAGGAUGAUCAGCCACACUGGGACUGAGACACGGCCCAGACUCCUACGGGAGGCAGCAGUGGGGAAUAUUGGACAAUGGGCGAAAGCCUGAUCCAGCAAUGCCGCGUGAGUGAUGAAGGCCUUAGGGUUGUAAAGCUCUUUUACCCGGGAUGAUAAUGACAGUACCGGGAGAAUAAGCUCCGGCUAACUCCGUG